rnacentral:rRNA from 1 species
GCUGACGAGUCCUUUAACUGACGCUAAAGCUCGAAAGUGCGGGUAUCGAACAGGAUUAGAUACCCUGGUAGUCCGCACGGUAAACGAUGGAUGCCCGCUGUUGGCGAUAUAGUGUCAGCGGCCAAGCGAAAGCGUUAAGCAUCCCACCUGGGGAGUACGCCGGCAACGGUGAAACUCAAAGGAAUUGACGGGGGCCCGCACAAGCGGAGGAACAUGUGGUUUAAUUCGAUGAUACGCGAGGAACCUUACCCGGGCUUGAACUGCCAGCGAACGAUCCAGAGAUGGUGAGGCCCUUCGGGGCGCUGGUGGAGGUGCUGCAUGGUUGUCGUCAGCUCGUGCCGUGAGGUGUCGGCUUAAGUGCCAUAACGAGCGCAACCCCUUUCUCCAGUUGCCAUCAGGUAGAGCUGGGCACUCUGGAGACACUGCCACCGUAAGGUGUGAGGAAGGUGGGGAUGACGUCAAAUCAGCACGGCCCUUACGUCCGGGGCUACACACGUGUUACAAUGGGUGGUACAGAGAGUCGGUCGCUGGCAAUAGCGAUCCAAUCCUAAAAGCCAUCCUCAGUUCGGAUUGGGGUCUGCAACCCGACCCCAUGAAGCUG